GGAAAGAGAAGAUGGCGGCUGGUGGCCGCGGACCGUCUCUUGCCUCAUCGCCUGAAGGAGCCGCAGAGGCUCGCGAAAAUGCCUUGGAGGAGGCGGUGAACCGGUGGACCCUCCUCUUCUACGCCCACCGGGCCCUUCAGGCUUUCCGAGCCGGCCGCAGCCAGGACUUUCGCCAGCUGCGGGACGUCAUAUACGCUGUGCUUGCACGGCCCCUAGCACUAGAGAAACACAUUGGCAUUCAGCUGCGGAUUAUCCAGCUUCUGUCUAGGAUUGAAGAAGAUUGGACCAUUGAUACCAAGACCAAGUUAACGCCUCUUGAAUAUGCCCUUGUUCUUUUGGAUAAGAUGAAGAAUGAAUUGGACAUAGACAUUGAUGUAAUAGAAGAAAUAAGAAAAAAAAUAAAGGAAGCAGCUGUUAUAACCUGUCUAAAAAACAAAGAAUAUGAACAAGCCAGCAAGAUCUUGAAGAAACACAUGUCAAAGGACCCAAGUUCCCAGAAAAUGAGGUCGAUGUUGCAGAGCAUCAUCCGAGAAAAAAACUUCGCUCAUCCAGCCAUCUGGAACUUCUCCUAUAAAGCUUUCCAGCAGAAAAUACUUCUGUAUUUAGAAAGCUGCUUGAGUGACUCUGAGCCCUUUCUCUUAGAGAUGGCAAAAAAGGAUUUGGACAAUCAGAUAGAGACCAGGCUCGAUCCUUUGGAAAUGGCCAGCAAGGAGGAAAUGGUGAAAGAAACCUCAGAGGUGGCAGCAGCAGAUAAACCUGAAUAUGUGGGAAGAUCUGAUGAGACUUUGGAAGAGCUCAGGCCUGAGGGAGGGCCUAGCAAUACAGUGGAAGAACAGCCCAAGUCUCUGGAGGGAGGCCGUGAGACAGUUGCAAGGCCUUUGAUGGAGGCAAAGGGAGCUGUUUUGGAACUUGCUGAAGUGGUUGAUGAGUGCCAGGCAGCUUCAAAGCCAGAAGAUGAAACCAGUGGAGCUGCAGAGCCUGCUGUGGUUGCUGUUGCCACUGUCUCAGCAGCUUCCAGGGAUUCUGACAGAUGUUUGCCUAAGAGGAUGGGCUCGUAUGGGUUUUCUACUCUGAGAGACGCUUUCAAGAUGCUGUCCAAUUCCCCAGAUGCAGAUGAAGAGUUUUCAAAACUGGACAAGUUGGACUGGACUUUUCCCAAGCCCUGUUUGGCUUCUGAUUUCCACGCAGCCAAGUGCCAAAGGGAGAAGAACCAUGCUGCCUCUAGGCCGCACCCCAGUGAACGCUCAGUGUCCAUAAGCUCACUGGUUAUGGGGUCAGUGAGCUGGAACCCCCCAACUUCCUGCCAAGUUUCAUCCAAGAAGCCUGUGGCAACUUUGGUUGUCCGGCCUGCACAGCCCCAAAUACCCACCCAGCCUGAUGAUACCUCCCGAUGUCCCAGAUUAGCCAAGAGGAGACUAAUUUGUUUAGAUCAGGAUGAAGAAAAGGAGGUCUGGAGUGAUGAGGAUGAACUCUUUGAAUCGAAGGAAGAAAGCAGCAGCAGCAGCAUCAACACUUCCCUCUUUGGUUCUAAAAAGAAGAUCUGGACAUCAGAGGAAUCUCAGUGGAUUAAGGAAGGUGUGAAGAAGUUUGGGGAAGGGAGGUGGAAAGCCAUUUCCCAGGCAUUCCCCUUUAAGAACCGGACUCCUGUGGCGAUCAAGGACCGAUGGCGGACAAUGAAGAAUCUGGGGCUCUUGUGAACCUGGGGAAUGACCUGGAGGCAAGUGCCUAAGCUCCAACUCUAUGUGGACAUAGGGUGGGCCAGAGCUUUUAAAGUAUCAUCUUUCAGACUGGCAUAUGUCUGCAGAGCAGUGAGUGGUGAACAACCGGGGGAGAGUCAACUUCCAUUUUUUCCAUAUCCUCAAUUUAGUUUGUAAAUAUGGGUUAUUCAUUUGGCCAGUAAUUUUAAGGAUUAAGGUUUUUUGAAAGAUAAAGCACAUAGCAGACCUAGGGCUAUUUGUUUUUCUUCCAAAUUGAUCCAUUUCUUACCAUUCUUCAUAAUCAUGAAAGCCUGCUGUCUCAAUUGGAAUGCAUCAUGGUAUACCGAGAGGUUUGGUAAACCCCGACAUCCUUCAUUUAAAAAAGAAAGGAAAAUAAGAUUUCAUGGGCAACCUUGAAGACUUAUCUUGAAAUAUGAAACAAUUUUAGUUUGCCAUUUGAUCAUUGGAGAAAAGUAAGGAGAACCUGAAAGAGGGACAGAAAACAGGGAAUUAAAAUGAUAUGUACUGCUGCAAUAGAGCCUAAAAUGGAAAGGUUAAAUUGGUUCCAUUUUUUAAAGUCCCUGUUCAUUUUUAAAAUAAUGGGAUAAUUCGGUUUAGAUUCAUGGUUCAUGUUUUUUAGAAUUGGCACACCCAAGUCUCCAAAUGCAGAGCAGCACAUGGGUGUAUUAAGAAUAUGACGUGUGUAUUUGAAUCAGUGGUGGAAGACUGAAAAACAUCAUUGAUUUUCCAGUGUUUACUUUUAAGCCUGCUACUUCAGAAAAAGAUGUUAAUUCUUCCUUUAAUGCACAGGCUGACCCCUUAGGGCCUUUCAUCAUCACAACAAUAUCAUCUGCAUACAUUGUCAACAGAUGCUCUUCGCCCUCUCUCCAAUAUCCUUUUACAUCUGGAUUAAGACGUAAGAUAUUAGUGAAUGGUCCAAAAGAGAAGGCGAGGAGCAAUGGCGACAAGGGACAACCUUGUUUUGUCCCCCUCCAGAUUGCAAUUGCUGAGGAGUCCAUGUUAUUAAUUCUUAGAGUAGUUGAAUUAUUUGAAUAGAGUUUAGCUAUUGCUGUAAUAAGGCGAUUGCCUAGUUGGCAUGUCUGCAAAAUGUUAAGACAUAACACCAUUCCAGACCAUCAAAGGCUUUGUAUAUAUCUAAGGAACAUAAAGCCA